rnacentral:rRNA from 1 species
UACGUAGGUGGCAAGCGUUGUCCGGAAUUAUUGGGCGUAAAGAGCUCGUAGGCGGUUUGUCGCGUCUGCCGUGAAAGUCCGGGGCUUAACCCCGGAUCUGCGGUGGGUACGGGCAGACUAGAGUGCAGUAGGGGAGACUGGAAUUCCUGGUGUAGCGGUGAAAUGCGCAGAUAUCAGGAGGAACACCGAUGGCGAAGGCAGGUCGCUGUGCUGUAACUGACGCUGAGGAGCGAAAGCAUGGGGAGCGAACAGG